rnacentral:rRNA from 1 species
GCCACUGCUAUUGGGGUUCGGCUAAGCCAUGCGAGUGGAGGGCGUCCCGCAAGGGAUGACCCCGCAGACGGCUCAGUAACACGUCGUCAACCCACCUUAGGGUGGGGGACAACCUCGGGAAACUGAGGAUAAUCCCCCAUAGGCGGGGGAGGCUAGAAUGCGCCCCCGCUGAAAGCUCAGGCGCCCUAGGACGGGACGGCGGCCUAUCAGGUAGUUGGUGGUGUGACG